CCAAGACAUACAGUGGUUAAAUUUAUUUUUUGCCUGGCAGUUUUGUACCCAAGAAGAUAAUUUUCUCUGAGAGAAUUGUGCUUCCAUGGAAGAUAAACUGCCUCAGGAGAAGGAAAAUCAGAACUUUCUGAUGGCAGUUGCUGACCAGAAGGGUUGGAGGACGUGGAAAAGAGGAAAUUGCAAGGCAAAUUGGAGCACCCCAUGUAAGGAGGAGGACCACAUUUGCUGAGGGAAGAAGAACAAGAAGAAGAGGAGGAAGAGGAAGAGGAGGAAGAAGAAGAGGAAAAAGAAGACCAGCAUUCACUAACUUCUGCUUGAAUUGGCAGAUUGGGUCCCCAGAGGAGAGCUGCAACUAUGCUCAGAUAACAUGGUAAAGACAGUUAAUACAAAAUAUUCUUCUAAAACCCGAUUCACUCCUUCCCAUAAAUACACACAGCAUCCAUGGGAGGAGUGAGCUUAAACUUAGGCCACAAUAAUACUGAGGCACACAUGCAAGAAAUAUAUGGCAAAGGUUUAACUCACAACACCUUGCAUGUGAAUUGGAUUUAAGUGAAGUAGAGCUUCACAAAUCAUAAGCCUCACUAUCUCCUUCAGUCAUUCUUUCUUUAUCUAGUGAAGUAAUUAUCUAACUUUGAUUAUUUUUCUUAUUAGUAUGAUCUGUUAUGUUUACAAUGUUCCUGUUAUUGAUCCAACCAUGAAUUCCGUGUAGAAAUCCCACCUCACAAUAAUGUACAGUCUUUUGAAUGUACCGCUGUAGCGUUUGCUAACAGUUUAUUUAAAAUUAUCGUAUUCAGCUUCAUUAUGGGUAUUGGUCUACAACAGUCAUCCUCUAAUACAUCUCUCCCUGGUUGAGAUAGUAAUACCAUAGUUGUAACAUAGAAGGAAUUUGGUAGGAUCCCUUCUUUGCUUAUUUUUGCAAACAAUUUAUGUGUAGCACAUAUAGAGCUCUGAGGCUCGCUCAACAUCCCCUAGCAGGUCAUAUCUUGAGAGCUGGGCUACUAUAUUUCUCAUGUAGUUCCUGGCAAGCAUAUGCCAAAAACACAUGUAUUAAUGUUUUGUCAUCAACAAUAACCAGUUGCCAUGAGUGACCUUUUACAAAAGCAUAUUUACUGCGAUGACAUGUCAAGUCUUAAGGCACAAAAGCCUUUGAAAGUGGGAGUACAGUCCUCUCUAGUCAUCCAUGGUGAGAAUAGGCUCGGUCUUGUAGAGGUUGUUUUCUUCUAGGUGAAGUUUAGCCAAAAGAAGGCUCACUCUCUUGCUUCCAUGACACGGUUUUUCAGCUGCCUGACUUACUCCUCCAAUGGGCUGGACCAAACAGGGAACUCUUUAGGUCUACUUCUUCACUACAGCCUCAAAAGCUCCCAGCAUAUUCUGUUAUGGACUCUAGGUGUUGCUGGUUCUUCCAAUAUUCCAAGACGCACAAGGAUGUGCAAUUUGGUCCAUUCUGUCUCUGGUUUUCCUUCCCUUAACAUCAGCAAAGAAUAACACAAAGAAGCAAAGAAUCAGAACCAAGGGUUCAUGACUACAUAUAACCUUCUCUACUUCAAGCAGGCCCCUGCAGUUCUGCUUCCUUCUCACUUGAAAGGUGCCAGGGAAAAGAGUGAGUGUUAGUUACUUUGGACCUUGUAUAUGUAUGUAUUCUCAUUUCCAAUUCCACUGUCAAAUAAAUGCCUUUAUGUCACCAUGCAGAAAACCAACAGGCAACAGUCAAGAUAUCUUCCUAUGUUCUGAAUGGAGGCAUAGGUCCUCCAUCGCACAUAGUCAUACCUCUCCAGAAGCAGUUUCAUCAAUAUCUGUGCAUACUCCAAGGGGCCAGCCCUUAUGGCCAUUCCUGCAUUAUAUAAGUACUACUGUUAUUAAUUACUCUUGGAAUGUUGGAUACAUUUCACACCAUCCAACUUCCUCUGGUAGUUCAUUGAUGGAUGGUUCAAAUUAUUUUUUGGAGAUUUGUUUGCUUAAAUUCUCUCUUAUGUUGAUGUGCAUAUUAUAUUUUUGCAGAUAUUCAUCCAUUACAUUUAAAUGUUGGCAUAAAGAACCAGCAGAACAUUGUACAAAGUAACAGACGUGUUGUGCAAUGACCAACGUUGAUAGACUUAGCCCUUCUCAG